AUGAAUUUAGAAUCCAUUUAUCGGUUAAUUGAGGAAACACAAAUCUUCGGGAUGCAGCAGUCAGCAGUUAAACCACCUCCCGACAUGGGAGCACCAGUCUCGGUCCCCAGGGACACCUGUAAUUCCUGUUGGCCACUUAAUGGGCUACAGUCUCAUGCUGCCCACAGCUUCUGUGCUCACGCGUGCAACACCAAUGAAUGGGAUAUUUGUGAAGAGCUGCGCCUGCGGGAACUUGAAGAAGUCAAGGCCAGAGCUGCUCAGAUGGAGAAGACCAUGCGGUGGUGGUCAGACUGCACAGCCAACUGGAGGGAAAAGUGGAGUAAAGUUCGAGCUGAGAGGAACAGUGCCAGGGAGGAAGGAAGACAACUCAGAAUGAAAUUAGAGAUGACAGUGAAAGAAUUGAGUGCACUGAAAAAGAAGCAAAGUCCGCCACAUCAAAAGGAGACCUUGGAAGCUAGAGUUGCCCUGAACCAGACGCGUCCUAGUUUCAUAGAUGUGUCCUAUGUACAAAGGGAUCAAUUUCAAACUGGCUCGCAAAUGUGUGAGUCUAUCAGAGAGUGUCUGGUGAAAAGAGAAUUUCCCACAAAGGAGAACAGAAAUACUAUGGAAGAAGGUUUGAUUCUCGACCCAUUAAGAUUAAAUGAGGAGAAACUCCAUCUAGACUGCUCUGAUUUAUUCGAGAACAGUGGUUCCGGAAACUGUGCAAUGAGACCUGGGCUACGACAGCCAGUGGGACACCUGCCUUUGGAGGAUGGAGUGCCUGACAUUUCCACUCUGCAGGAGCAUUUGGAUGAGCUCCAAAAAAUCCUUAGGAAAGAAAGGGAAAUGCGCUCAUCCCUGGAAAAAGAAGUAGAACAACUGGAGUCAGCUGUGUCUUUGUGGAAACAGAAGUAUGAAGAACUGAAAGAAUCGACAUCCAAAAAUAGGAAAGAGCUAGAGAGAUUGCAGGUGGAAAAUACAGUGGAAUGGGACCAGAGGGAAAUAUUUGAAACUGAAAAACAAGGACUGGAUAGAGAAAAUAGAAGGCUAAAGGUCCAGGUGAAAGAAAUGGAUGAACUCCUCAAGAGGAAAGAUAGAUUAAGUGCAAACUCCCAAGAUCCUGAUUUCAAGACAUCACAAAUUGAACUGCAGGAGACAAACAAGGAGCUGCUGGACCUUCAACACGCCUACUGUAGACUCAGCAGCCAACACCAGGCGAAAACAGCAGAGCUGACGCUUGCCAACCACCGAGCCAAUCAGAGUGCGGCUGAGGUAAAGAAACUGCGAUUUGGAGUGGAAGAACUAAAACAGAGACUCAACCAAAAAGAAAAUAAGCUUGAUGACGUCCUGAAUCAGAUCCGCAAGCUCCAGACAUCUCUGGAUGAACAGAAAGAAGUCAAUGAAAACUUGGAAACUGAACUCAGGCACUUACAGAACAGACAACUGUAAACCUACUUUUGCCCCACCCUGUAUAUUGGAUUGAUUUCAUUAUUCCUGUGCACAGAUGAUGACUGAGGCAAUGAGACUGUCAUCGUGUGAAGUUUAGAAGUGGAAUAGAAAGGCUUACAUACUGUUCAUUUUGUGAUUGCCACCCUGGCUGUUGUUGUCUGCCCUAUGGAAUCGCAACCUUCCCAGCCUUACCAUUUGUAGAGCCUGAUUGUCAAAUGUCACUCUUCUAUGCAAAGAUUUUCCUCUUUCCAGAUAGCCUAAGCACUUUGGUGAAGUUAUGGUUAAUUACAUAUUGAAUUUUUUCUAUCUGUCUCAUGAUUUAUAUUCGUGUCUCAAAAAUUAACUUUAUUGUUAUUAUUGGAUCGCAUUUUCUAUCCUAUUUUUUGUAAAGUACCAUGAUUCUAUCACAUUCAAUUAUUUUAAUCAUCUUUUUUUCUGCUCAGUGUCCUAUUUCAUAUGGCAUGUCACAUUUAUAAACUAUUUAAAUGAUUUUAAGCAUAUUCUUAUAUUGCUUUAAAAGCAGAAUGUGUUUGUCUCUGUGUUUGUGUGUGUAUAGACAUAUGUAAUUAUACAAUGGAGAAUCAGUUUCCAGGUCACUGUGCUCCCACUGGAUCAUGUGAUGCUGAGUUGAGCUGGCCCAGAGAUGUUUCUGGAAAUUGUCUUCAUCUAUGUAUGUCAAAUAUAAACAUAAAGCUCACUGUAGGCUUUUAAUAUUCUACUAGAAAGACACACAAAAUUUUGUUUAUAUGGCAAGGCUUAGGAACACAGCUUCUUAUUAAGAGUUUGCCUGGAGACCGUGUUAGCCCUCUGUGUACUUUUCACACUGGCCAUAGGUAUGAUAAACCUGUAUAGGCAGGUGACCUGAUCACAUAACAAUACCACUUUCCAAUAAAUUUAAAAAAAAUCCACCCUUAUUUCUUUCUGUGUGCCGUGUACCAUACUUGGUGGGAGUCAUGGAUGAGGCUGCCAUUGAUAUCAUGAAGAUAGACAAAGGUCGACACCUAUGUUGAAACUUAUCCAGUUACAGAUGGGUAGACCAUUGUGGUCUGACUCAAGCCCAUGUCUUCUGUAUCCUAUAGCUCAUUUCCAUCCACUCAGUUACACUACAGCUCUGGGCCUGCAUACAAAGAUAUUGCCAUAUUUGAAAGAGGAUAGGGGAAGUCUGAUACUCAAUUUUAUUUUCACGAGAGGUGUCCCUAUGACAUUGUAAACACUGAAUUAAAUAAAUCUACUUUUGAAUUAGAA